rnacentral:rRNA from 1 species
CGGCCGUAACUAUAACGGUCCUAAGGUAGCAAAAUUCCUUGUCGGGUAAAUUCCGUCCCGCUUGAAAGGUGUAACCACUUCUUUACUGUCUCGACAACAGACUCGGUGAAAUCCUGGUGAGGGUGAAGACGCCCUCUUGGCGUGAUGGGACGGAAAGACCCCAUGAAGCUUUACUGUAACUUAACAUUGUGUGAGUAAUUUGUAUUUAAAGCAUAGGCGGGAGACUUUGAAAUGCUGACGCUAGUUGGCAUGGAGUCACCACUGUAAUACCGCCAUUACAAAUUAUUCAUACUAACCUACGGAUGUCAUCCAUCCGAGGAACAGUGUUUGGCGGACAGUUUGACUGGGGCGGUCGCCUCCCAAAAUGUAACGGAGGUGCGCAAAGGUACAUUCAGCAUGGUUGGAAAUCAUGUGUCGAGCGUAAUGGUAGAAAGUGUGCUUGACUGCGAGGCUUACACGCCGAGCAGGUAAGAAAUUAGGUCAUAGUGAUCCGGUGGUUCCGAAUGGAAGGGCCAUCGCUCAUCGGAUAAAAGUUACUCUGGGGAUAACAGGCUGAUACUAUCCAAGAGUUCAUAUCGACGAUAGUGUUUGGCACCUCGAUGUCGACUCAUCUUAUCCUGGGGCUGAAGAAGGUCCCAAGGGUUCGGCUGUUCGCCGAUUAAAAAGAUACGUGAGUUGGGUUCAAACCGUUGUGAAACAGGUUGGUCCCUAUCUGUCAUGCCCGAAAGAAGAUUGAGAAAAGUUGCUCCUAGUACGAGAGGAUCGGAGUGAAGUUACCUCUAAUGUUCCAGUUGUCACGCCCGUGGCACCGCUGGGUAGUUAUGUAGCGAACGGAUAAGCGCUGAAAGCAUAUAAGCGCGAAGCCUCUUUCAAGAUAAAUCUUCUCUGCCGGUAAUGCGGUAAUAAGAAUCGUUGUAGACUACAACGUUGAUAGGACACAUAUGUACGUGGAGCAAUCCACUAAGUUGAGUGUUACUAAUCAUUCGAAAGACUUUAAUGU